rnacentral:rRNA from 1 species
CCGGUAAACGGCGGCCGUAACUAUAACGGUCCUAAGGUAGCGAAAUUCCUUGUCGGGUAAGUUCCGACCUGCACGAAUGGCGUAAUGAUGGCCAGGCUGUCUCCACCCGAGACUCAGUGAAAUUGAACUCGCUGUGAAGAUGCAGUGUACCCGCGGCAAGACGGAAAGACCCCGUGAACCUUUACUAUAGCUUGACACUGAACAUUGAGCCUUGAUGUGUAGGAUAGGUGGGAGGC